UACGUAGGGGGCGAGCGUUGUCCGGAAUUACUGGGCGUAAAGGGCAUCUAGGCGGUUGUUUAAGUCCGCUGUGAAAGACCGAGGCUCAACCUCGGGGUGUCAGCGGAGACUGGACGACUGGAGUGUCGGAGAGGAGUGCGGAAUUCCUGGUGUAGCGGUGGAAUGCGUAGAGAUCAGGAGGAACACCGAUGGCGAAGGCAGCACUCUGGCCGAAGACUGACGCUGAAGCGCGAAAGCUGGGGGAGCGAACGGG
rnacentral:rRNA from 1 species